GUGGGGAAUUUUGGACAAUGGGCGCAAGCCUGAUCCAGCAAUGCCGCGUGCAGGAAGAAGGCCUUCGGGUUGUAAACUGCUUUUGUACGGAACGAAACGGUCCGGGUUAAUACCCUGGGCUAAUGACGGUACCGUAAGAAUAAGCACCGGCUAACUACGUGCCAGUAGCCGCGGUAAUACGUAGGGUGCAAGCGUUAAUCGGAAUUACUGGGCGUAAAGCGUGCGCAGGCGGUUUUGUAAGACAGGCGUGAAAUCCCCGGGCUCAACCUGGGAAUUGCGCUAGUGACUGCAAGGCUGGAGUGCGGCAGAGGGGGAUGGAAUUCCGCGUGUAGCAGAGAAAUGCGUAGAUAUGCGGAGGAACACCGAUGGCGAAGGCAAUCCCCUGGGCCUGCACUGACGCUCAUGCACGAAAGCGUGGGGAGCAAACAGGAUUAGAAACCCUAGUAGUCC
rnacentral:rRNA from 1 species